UGUAGACAAACAACACGUUACUGUAGACACACAACACGUUACUGUAGACACACAACAGGUUACUGUAGACACACAACAGGUUACUGUAAACACAAAACAUGUUACUGCAGACACACAACACGUUACUGUAGACACACAACAUAUUACUGUUGAAAGGUAAGCAACACGUUACUGUAGACACACAACACGUUACUGUAGACACACAACAGGUUACUGUAGACACACAACACGUUACUGUAGACACACAACAGGUUACUGUAGACACACAACACGUUACUGUAGACACACAACACGUUACUGAAGACACACAACACGUUACUGUAGACACACAACAGGUUACUGUAGACACACAACACGUUACUGUAGACAAACAAAACGUUACUGUAGACACACAACACGUUACUGUAGACACACAACACGUUACUGUAGACACACAACAGGUUACUGUAAACACAAAACAUGUUACUGCAGACACACAACACGUUACUGUAGACAC